rnacentral:rRNA from 1 species
GACGAACGCUGGCGGCGCGCCUAACACAUGCAAGUCGAACGAGCGAGAGAGAGCUUGCUUUCUCGAGCGAGUGGCGAACGGGUGAGUAACGCGUGAGGAACCUGCCUCAAAGAGGGGGACAACAGUUGGAAACGACUGCUAAUACCGCAUAAGCCCACGGGUCGGCAUCGACCAGAGGGAAAAGGAGCAAUCCGCUUUGAGAUGGCCUCGCGUCCGAUUAGCUAGUUGGUGAGGUAACGGCCCACCAAGGCAACGAUCGGUAGCCGGACUGAGAGGUUGAACGGCCACAUUGGGACUGAGACACGGCCCAGACUCCUACGGGAGGCAGCAGUGGGGAAUAUUGCACAAUGGGGGAAACCCUGAUGCAGCGACGCCGCGUGGAGGAAGAAGGUCUUCGGAUUGUAAACUCCUGUUGUUGGGGAAGAUAAUGACGGUACCCAACAAGGAAGUGACGGCUAACUACGUGCCAGCAGCCGCGGUAAAACGUAGGUCACAAGCGUUGUCCGGAAUUACUGGGUGUAAAGGGAGCGCAGGCGGGAAGACAAGUUGGAAGUGAAAUCUAUGGGCUCAACCCAUAAACUGCUUUCAAAACUGUUUUUCUUGAGUAGUGCAGAGGUAGGCGGAAUUCCCGGUGUAGCGGUGGAAUGCGUAGAUAUCGGGAGGAACACCAGUGGCGAAGGCGGCCUACUGGGCACCAACUGACGCUGAGGCUCGAAAGUGUGGGUAGCAAACAGGAUUAGAUACCCUGGUAGUCCACACCGUAAACGAUGAUUACUAGGUGUUGGAGGAUUGACCCCUUCAGUGCCGCAGUUAACACAAUAAGUAAUCCACCUGGGGAGUACGACCGCAAGGUUGAAACUCAAAGGAAUUGACGGGGGCCCGCACAAGCAGUGGAGUAUGUGGUUUAAUUCGACGCAACGCGAAGAACCUUACCAAGUCUUGACAUCCCUUGACAGACAUAGAAAUAUGUAAUCUCUUCGGAGCAAGGAGACAGGUGGUGCAUGGUUGUCGUCAGCUCGUGUCGUGAGAUGUUGGGUUAAGUCCCGCAACGAGCGCAACCCUUAUGGUCAGUUACUACGCAAGAGGACUCUGGCUAGACUGCCGUUGACAAAACGGAGGAAGGUGGGGAGGACGUCAAAUCAUCAUGCCCUCUAUGACUUGGGCUACACACGUACUACAAUGGCGUUAAACAAAGAGAAGCAAGACCGCGAGGUGGAGCAAAACUCAGAAACAACGUCCCAGUUCGGACUGCAGGCUGCAACUCGCCUGCACGAAGUCGGAAUUGCUAGUAAUCGUGGAUCAGCAUGCCACGGUGAAUAAGUUCCCGGGCCUUGCACA